GCAAUCAGGUAAUUUAUGUGGUUUCUUCAUCAUUAUGGUGCACAUUCUGCACCAAACCCAAUAUGUUUGUGUUUGUAUUUUGCACAUUGGCUUCAUGAGAUUUAAGGUUAAGCUUGGUUCUUAGCUUAGCUCAUAUAUUUUUCAAGCCUGGGGAUAAUCAUUGGACUAAUGAGCAAGUUUGCAUGCUUGGCUCCAUAGUGCUCAGCUGUUCCAAUUUCCAAACCACAACUCUUUUUCUGCUUUUCCUUCUGCAUUAUUUGGAGUUUAUUUAUGUAACAGUUGAAAUAAUUUGAAUCUUCAUAACUUGAAUGGCCUCUGUGCACAUUCAUUUACUCCUAGUCAACUACUUUGAUAGUUUUGAAUAACUAUAAAAGUGUUUCUGGUUGGUUUGCUUAUUUACUAGUUCUUUGAGUUUUUUAGGGACUUCCAUUAUUUUAUCUUUGUUCCAAAUAUUAUUUUGUUUCCUAGUUAUUCAUUUAUACUUUACUUUCUAUAUAUGACAUUCUUUAGGAUGGCUUGCACGUGAUCCUUCU
rnacentral:misc_RNA from 1 species